GACGAACGCUGGCGGCGUGCUUAACACAUGCAGGUCGUACGGUAAGGCCCUUUCGGGGGUACACGAGUGGCGCACGGGUGAGUAACACGUGAGUAACCUGCCCACAACUUUGGGAUAACGCUAGGAAACUGGUGCUAAUACUGGAUAUGUGCUCCUGCUGCAUGGUGGGGGUUGGAAAGCUCCGGCGGUUGUGGAUGGACUCGCGGCCUAUCAGCUUGUUGGUGGGGUAGUGGCCUACCAAGGCGGCGACGGGUAGCCGGCCUGAGAGGGUGACCGGCCACAUUGGGACUGAGAUACGGCCCAGACUCCUACGGGAGGCAGCAGUGGGGAAUAUUGCACAAUGGGCGCAAGCCUGAUGCAGCAACGCCGCGUGCGGGAUGACGGCCUUCGGGUUGUAAACCGCUUUCAGCAGGGACGAAGCUUUUUGUGACGGUACCUGCAGAAGAAGCACCGGCUAACUACGUG
rnacentral:rRNA from 1 species